GAGUCUCUUCGAAAUGGUGUUAAAGGAACCCAAGAAUGGCCUGUUAAAUAGAGGUGCGAUUAUGGAAAUGAAGGGUUUGAAGUGCUGUAAUCUUUUUAUAACAGGAGCUUAUAGUCAGUGCGAUGAGCCUGAAGUGUUGGUUUCGUGCUAACCCUGCCACCGGACGCUUUAAAGGGGGCAGUUUUUCUUGGGCUACCUCUCAGGCAUCUGUUGCCAAAGCACCACCAUAUCUUCAACCAGGUAUGAAUAAUGUAGUGUCUCCAAAUGGUCUGGAAGGCGAAGCUCGCAGAGUGAGUGUUUUUUCUAAGACGGACAAAGUGUUGCAAGGCUCAUCAUUUCCAGGUGGUGAAUAUCAACAACCCAGCUUGACAAGAACGAAUCGUCAUGGCCAACGUUUUGUGUCUUCGUCAUCCAGGAAAAUGUCAGGUAUUGGGCAUGCAAAGUUUUCCAAGUUUACCUAAAGACUGAAGGCUUCUUGAUUAUCCAUUACAGUGAUGCAUUGGAAAAAAGUAAACUGUGUAAUGAAACAUAUAAUGCAAUCGUAGUGCAUCUCAAGUUUGAACUUUUACUGAUUGCCAAUUGAGUGAAGAUCGAAGAGUCUUGAUGAGAUUGUUUUGCAAUAAUUGAGCUAUUCAUAUUGAUAACUAUAGCUUUGUAAAUUCUAGCUAUAAUCAAAGUAUAUUUUCCUUGAGCUGGUGUAGAGUUAAAAAUGUAUACCAUAUUAUUGUUUCUGUAUGGGCACAGUACUCAAUUAAGUUGCUAUAGCUGUGGUCCGUUAUUGUUUUCCGUUAAAUCUUGUUAUGUUACUUGAUCAACUGCCUUGUAAAAUUGAACCCGACAUAAAAGGUGGCAAUGUGAAAUUGUGCUGGCAUGGUUUUCAGCGUUGUCUUUUGAGCCUUCUUAAAGAAUUCUUAUUAACUGA